AACGAACGCUGGCGGCAUGCCUAACACAUGCAAGUCGAACGAAGGCUUCGGCCUUAAUGGCGCACGGGUGCGUAACGCGUGGGAAUCUGCCCCUCGGUUCGGAAUAACAGUUAGAAAUGACUGCUAAUACCGGAUGAUGACUUCGGUCCAAAGAUUUAUCGCCGAGGGAUGAGCCCGCGUAAGAUUAGGUAGUUGGUGGGGUAAAGGCCUACCAAGCCGACGAUCUUUAGCUGGUCUGAGAGGAUGAUCAGCCACACUGGGACUGAGACACGGCCCAGACUCCUACGGGAGGCAGCAGUGGGGAAUAUUGGACAAUGGGCGAAAGCCUGAUCCAGCAAUGCCGCGUGAGUGAUGAAGGCCUUAGGGUUGUAAAGCUCUUUUACCAGGGAUGAUAAUGACAGUACCUGGAGAAUAAGCUCCGGCUAACUCCGUGCCAGCCGCCGCCGUAA
rnacentral:rRNA from 1 species